rnacentral:lncRNA from 1 species
GUUCAUCAAUUCCAAGAUGAAAAUGAUUUACAUUUUUUUCCUCUUGGCUCUUCUAUCAUCCACUUCCCAUGCUUCUGUCAAUGAUUUUUGUGUAGCAAACCUAAAAGGUCCAGAUAGCCCUUCAGGCUACCAGUGCAAGCCACCUAACACAGUCACGGUGAAUGAUUUUGUGUUGUCUGGCUUUGUAGCUGGAAACACCACAAACGCUUUCAAUGCUGCAUUAACACCAGCAUUUGUCACUGAGUUACCAGGAGUCAAUGGUCUUGGCAUAUCUGCAGCACGGUUAGACUUAGCCAAAGGUGGAUCAGUUCCAAUGCACUCACAUCCUGGUGCUAGUGAAAUACUAAUAAUGGUGAAAGGUCAAAUCACUGCUGGUAUUUUGACACCUGGUGCUGUUUAUGAGAAGACACUUAAACCUGGAGAUGUUAUGGUUUUCCCACAAGGACUUUUGCAUUUUCAAGCGAAUUCUGGUAAGGGAAAAGCCACUGCUUUUGUUGCUUUCAGCAGUGCAAACCCUGGAGCACAACUACUUGACCUUCUGUUGUUUGGCAAUAGCUUGCCUUCUGACUUGGUUGCACAAACUACCUUCCUUGAUGUUGCUCAAGUGAAGAAGCUUAAGGCUCGUUUUGGUGGUAGAGGCUAGCUUCUAUUGCUCAUGAAUUGAUCUUUUCCUAAUGUUUAUUUCUAAUCAUAUAGUCAAUAAUGUUGUGUAUGCCAUUUGCCUUUUCCACUUCCAUGUUUGAAGAUUUCGUAAUGGAGAAAGAUUGUUCUACUAAAAAAAACACCUUUAUGUUGAGGGAGUAUGUUGGAAAAUAGAGUAAUAAUAGUUGUAUUUAUCUACUUAUUUAUAUCUUUAAUUAUGUUACUUAAAUUUUUCAAGAAGGAAAAUGUUUGGUAAGUACCCAAAUACUCAUCAACACCUAAAGAGAUGGGAGAAGAGAAGAGAUAAGUGAUAGGUUUAUAAGAAUAAUGAUGUGCAAAAAAAGAGUAUCACAUAGUUAUUUAUUUAAAAAGAAUGCCCAAAUAUCAUUAUUAUUUCAAGAAUGAUGUCUCAUAGUAUCACAUGUACGAGUCUUGUGUAGUACAUUUGCAAAUAAGCCAAAUAAAGCCAAGAACUCAAAAUUUAAGGGCCUGCUUGAUUUGUUUAUUAUCAUUCUUUUGCUUUAAAAUAACGAUUUUUUAAAAGUACAAUUCUACUUUACUUAUCAAUCGAUUUAUCACCUAAAGUCCAUUGAUUUUUAAAAACUGUAUUUCUAAAGCAAGUGUUUUAAAAAAUAGAAAAACAACAAUUGGGAGCUAUUUCCCUUUUCGCUUUUCAAUGGCAGCAAAAUAACGACAUGGGAGAGAAGCUGCUUGGAUGCAGAGAGAACACGAAUUAUGUAUUUCGGACUUUGACACUUCGGAGUUGCAAAAUAAGUAAUGGCCAUAAAAGUUGUAGAGCAGGACAAAUUGUUUUCAUCCAUCAAACAACUUUUUCUAUUUUUAAUUUUUGAAAACUAAAAAUAUAUUUUUAAAAUACAAAUCAAACACACUCUAUUUCUUCUAUUUUCUGAUUCAUCUUUAUUUCCUCAAGUGCUUACAUGCAUUAUAAGGAGAAUGCAUGACAAAAAAGAAGAGCAGAAAAAAGGGGUAAGUACAAUUACCCGAUGUAAUAAAAAAGUAAGGAAGAUAAAAAAAAAUAUGCAUGCAAGGUAGUAUAAUAGUAACAAUUUAAUUUUAAUACAUAUCAAUACAAAGGUUUUCAAUCAUCAAUUAAGUAAAAAUCAUCUUAUAGGUAACCUUUAAAGUGAUUAUGACAAACGUUAACAACAUUACCAAAAAAAGUUCAUUGGAGACCGAUAAUAUCAGCCGCUAAAUGUAGAAAAUCGCACAAUGAUUUAAUUAGCAACGAUUGAAAUAAAUGGAAAUUCAGGUCGCUAAGCCAUUAGUGACAGACAAAUGUUUUAGUCGCUAGGUAGUCACUGAAUAUUUCAGUCACUAAUAAAAAUGACGUUGCUUGAUAAUCACCGAAUAUUUAAAAUCAUAAAUAAAUAUACAUAAUCGAUUUGAGAAAAGUUAAAAUAUCUUAAUCUGUAUAAAAUAUGCAUAAUUUAUUCAAAUAAAAAAUUUAAAAUUUAGAAGGAGAAGGUGAGGAUUGGUGUAACUUUUCAACAGAUAAUAAACUGUAAGAUUAAAUCAUUUUAAAAAUGUGUUAUAAAAAAUCAGCUUAAAAAUAUACUUUAUUUUAGUACACAAACAUAAAUUGCUUAGAAGCAUCAAUUUCAUUAUAUAAUCAAUUUAUGCAUACUAUUAUCUACAAAUAUUUGAUAUUUGAUCAAUAAUAUAAAUAAGAAUUUUGCUUUUAAUUGAAAAUUGUAUAAGAAAAUUUAAUUUGUAUUUGCAAAGGAAAAUAAUUACAGAAUUUAGAAUAUUAAAUAUAAAAGAAUAAUUAAAAUAUAAAAUAAUAAUAAGUACUUUUUCAUAAAGAGAGUAUAUGUUUCUCUUAAAAAAAGAUGGUAUAUGUUUUUUUUCAUAGAAAAGUUUUAUGAUAAAAAGAAAAAUAUAAAAUUAUUAAUAUGAUGUGAUAUGAUUGAUAAAUUAUUUAUUACUUAAAUAUGUGAUUAUAUGUUCGAUCUAUAAUUUGUGUAUAAAAAAAUUAUUAAUCUUAUAAAUAGAUCUCACUACCUCUCGAAAGAUUAAUUAGUCUCAAGACAAAUACUUUGAUUAAGAAAAACAUUAUAAAGUCCAGGAGUGAAACAUUUACAUCGGUAUAAAUAGUACUAGCUGUAUUUUAAUUAUCUUCAUAAAAAAGCUCUAUUUUAAUCAUUGCUGAAAUCAAAUGUGCUUCGGAUCCCGACAGAUUUAGUCAAUCCUUUCCUGCUAUUUUUUUUUUUUUGCCAACACUGAAGUCCUUUUUAAGCCACUUUUUGGGGGCUUCGGAUCUAGCACAUAUAAUACCUCAAGUCUUAAUAAAGAAAUACUACUUAUUUCAUCUGUAAAAUAAAUUAAUAGAAAAUUCAUAAUUUAAAUUAUUAGAAUAGAACCACCAAAAUUUAAGAUAGUUCUAAUUUAACUAAUAAUUUUAAGUUUGAGUCUUUAAAAUAUAAUUCGGUAAAAAAAUCUUUAAUAUAUAAUAAUAUUAAAUGUUAGACAGUUUAAAAUAAUUGAUAAUAUUACAUUACUACAUAAGUUUUCUAAAAAAAUUUACAUAAAAAUCUUUGAAAGAUUAAAAUUAAAAUGUUUUAUAAGGAUCAAAUUGGUAUUUAAGAAAAAAAAAUUGUUUCCAUCAAUUGACAGGAUCAAGAAGAACUUGCAUUGACUUUUGGUAACAAUUGGAUCUAGCGUGUACUGUAGAGAAGGUCAAGGUUUUGACUUAUAACCUGUAGACGUUUUUACGAUCACAUCUUACAUAGCACACCAAUCACACAGUCAAUAUUUGCACAUUGCACAACAGAUCGAUCACUUUUAGCAGCUGAUAAAAAUUGAAGUUACUCAAUGUAUAUAAAGAAGCUCCACAAAAACCUAAUCUUAUAUCAAAACCAAGAAUGGCAAAUCAAUGGAUCUAAUUCGUAUUAUCGAAAACGAACCUGUAUUAUACCACUCAGUCCAUUAUUUAACAACACAUUGUAUCUACUCGCUUAAAAAUUACCGAUAGAAAUUACAAAAAAAUUAAACUUGUGGAUUUCACUGUUUAUUCAACAAGUUUAACUUAUAAUUUUGUAAAUUUUAAUCAAUUGUAAAAAAAUGUGUUAGAAAGUGUAAGCAAUCACUGUUUAUAUUUUAAAGGAAAGCACACUGCAGCAUACAAGAAGGGAGGUUCAAUUAAUAAGGCAAGAAAAAACAUUGUUUUUAUCUUAUCAAUCAAUAGUGCUUUUGCGUAAGAUGGGCAUUGGAUCAUAUAUCAUAGGUUACGGAUCUUUUGCAUCUGACCCAUUGGGCCAACGAGAACUAAGUAGUAGAACCCCUGCGUCUAACUCUAAACCCAAAAAAUGAUAAUGAUGACACAAAAUAAUAAUAAUAAAAAUACUAAUUUAUUGAAAAAUAAAUGAAAAUUCAUUAAUUUAUUAGAGAAUAAAAUAAAAUAUUAAAAAUAAAAAAUAAAAGUAUUAUUUUUUUAGAAAUUUAACACAACUAAAAUUUAUUAGAAAAUAAACACAAAAAUUAAAUAUGCUACAACAUAUUUAAGCCUUUUUAAAAAAAGUGUUUAUUUUUUUAAUUGAAAAUGAUAUAAUUUAAUAAAAUUAUCUAAUUUUUUAAUAAGUAUAAAAUAUGUCUUUUUUUUCUUAUAAUAGAAAUCUUAAGGAGUAUACUCUCUCUAUUCCAAAACUAUACAUCUUUUAGCAUUUUUGUUUUGUUCCAAAAUUAUAAAUGUUUACAAACCCAAAACUAAAUUUGCAAUUUUUUUUUCCAAUUAUAAUCUUGUUUACAAUUAUUACUGCAUUAAAUAUUUUUUGUUAUCCAAGAUGUACAACAAUAACUAUCCUUUUUUCAACGAGAAUGUCCACUUAAUAUUAUUUCUAGCCUUUUCACUAUCCAAAUUUUUAUGGUUAAUAAUGAUAAUUCCAACGACAUGAUUAAAUACGGAUAUUUUAAUCUAAAUUUUAUCAAUUAAUAUUUUUAAUAGCUGUGUACUAACCUUAUACAUCUACAGUUUUGAAUUAUAGUUUUAAAUUGGAGGGAGUAAAAACUAAUUUAAGAGUUCAUUCAUGUUUUGUGUGGUUACAAAGUAUGACAUUCAAAACCUACAUGUUUUGCAUUGGAAUACAUAAAAUAAAUGAAUAUAAAUUAAUUUGAACAUUCUCUACACUCAAAAUUUUAAUUGACAUUUUUAUUUUCCUAAGUGAUCAUUGGCGUGUAAGAACUCUCACUCUCACGUGCAUACAUAUAUACAUUACAUUCUAUCUGUAUAAAUAAAUAAAUUACAGGUUGACCAGCAAUAGCGAGGAUGAGGUUGCGUAGUGGAGUGAGACUCGCGAGAGAGAGAUCAUUGAGGGCGCGAGUUAAGGUGAAAAUGAACUUGAUGUAGUCGUUUUCUGUAUCGGUUAAAUUGCAGUCGAUAUAACAAAGUUACUUUAAAUUGAAAUUUUUUCUCCACAUCAUGUUUUGCAUCAAUUAUUCAACAACCGCUGGAGAAAGUCGUUGUAAAAUGCUAUUUUUCAACCAGUGCGUUGAAGUUGUCUAACUUAUUCAAAGUAAAAAUAUAACUAAAUGAUUGGUGUAAUUAAUACUUGUAAUUAAACAUCUUAAAGCACAUAAAAGAAUCGUCUCAAUCAUAUAUGAUGGAGUUUUCAAUUCCAUUUUUACUUGAAAUAAGUUGAAACAACCCAUGUUAAAAUGAUUAUUAAGUCAACGAGAUUAAUAUAUAUAUAUAUAUAUAUAUAUAUAUAUAUAUAUAUCCAUUUCUCUGUCUUUCUUUUUUACAUUUUUCUCUCCCUAUCCUCUCUUGUUCUUUCGCUCGUCGGUAAAUUAAAGGUAGAGUGUAAAGUCAUACUAUCUUCUCGAGCAUCAUUAUCUAGCCAUGAUCAAACCCAGAAAUCAUAAAGUUUGGAAUCCGCCUAAUAAAAAUAUGAAAACGAAGCAUACCCAUGCGAACAAAUUUAUUGCUGACAGUGAUUAUUAAUUAGAACAAACACUAUCUAUGAGUUGAUGAGUUCAACACCCAUAAACAAAUUUAUACUUGGGCAACAUCAAGGAAGGUACAUAUAGUUAAUUUGUGCAACCAAGUUAGGAGGCAAGUUGUUGCCAAAUAACAGGAAGAUCAAAUUGCGCCUUUUCCCUUUCCAUACAAUAAUUUACUUGAAGAUGAGACAGUCCUUGUGGCUUGUGGGAAAUCCAUAAGAUCUCCUGGUUUCAGUGUCUUCUUAUAAAAGUGCUGUGCGUAUCAUAAUUCCAGCAAGUGAUUUGACCAUUUACCAUUAUUAUUAGUGCAUUAGCACCCUGCUGGUAGCAAUCGGUGCAUGCGAGGACUCAAUAAUUGCUAUUUUAUAUAUAUCUAUAUAUUAUAGAAGUAGUUAUUUGAAAAUUAAUAUCAAUUAUUAAAUAAGGAUAUAUGUAAAAAAAUAAUAAUAAACUUGAAAUAUAUAAAACCAAUAUCAAUAGUUUUUGGACCGGAGAUAGUAAUACCAAUGGACUUUUUUUUACUGCACAAAACACAUCUUGCUAACAAGUGAUACAGUAAGAUAUCAUUCUUGAAAAAUAUAUAAAUACAUAGAUUAAUCAAUUUUAAGUACAUGAUCCAAACAUCGAAAUGGAAAAGGCAAGGGCAUACACAGGCAUUAUUAUGGACUAUAAAUAGCAACAAACAUUAGAUAGGAAUAAAUUCAUGAGCAAUAAUAUUCCUAGCCUCUGCCACCGAAACGAGCCUUAAGUUUCUUGACUUGUGCAACAUCAAGGAAGGUAGUUUGUGCAACCAAGUCAGAAGGCAAGGUGUUGCCAAAUAACAGAAGGUCAAGUAGUUGUGCUCCAGGGUUUGCACUACUGAAUGCCAGAAAAGCAGUGGCUUUUCCGUUUCCAGAAUUAACCUGAAAAUGCAACUGUCCUUGUGGAAAAACCAUAAUAUCUCCAGGUUUCAGUGUCUUGGUAUAAAGUGCAGUUGGGGUCAUAAAACCAGCAGUGAUUUGACCUUCCACCAUUAUUAGAAGUUCAGUGGCAGCAGGGUGUGUGUGCAUUGGGAUUGAUCCACCUUUGGCUAUGUCUAACCGUGCCGCAGAUACACCAAGACCAUUCACACCUGGAAAAUCAGUAACAAAUGCGGAGGUUAAUGCAGCAUUGAAAGUGUUUGUGGUGUUUCCAGCUACAAAGCCAGAGAACACAAAGUCAUCCACUGUGACUGUGUUAGGUGGCUUGCACUGAUAGCCUGAAGGGCUAUCUGGACCUUUUAGGUCUGCUACACAGAAAUCAUUGACAGAAGCAUGGGAAGUGAACGAGACAAGAGCAAAGAGGAAAAGAAAGUGAAUCAUCUUCAUCUUGGAACUUGGAUGAAUGGAUUUGGUGUGAAGGUAAUGUGGAAUUGGCUAUCUAUUUAUAAAGCUAUUCUUACACGCUGAAGAUACAUGGCCUAUGGCCUUGCUGCAUGUACCCCUAAAUCCUUGAGUUAGGAUCGUACUAUAUCUAAUUACAUCUUGUUUUAUUUUAUAUAUGAGAAUCAGACUAACGUGUAACGUGAACCACCAAGCAAAAUUAACUAGUGGCUGUAUCAUAUUCAUGUGAGAGUGGACAUUAGAAUGAAAACAAUAAAAUCAUAUUUUUAUUAUACUUUUAAAAUACAGGUGCACAUUUAAACUAGUAAUAAUUAAUUAGUUAAAGAUUAAUUGAUAUAUGUAAUUAUUUAAUGUGGGUUUUAAUAUUUUCCUUAUACCGGAUAGAUAUGCAAAUGUGAUUGAAGAUGAAGAAAGAAACUGAAAGAAAAAUGUGGGUUGACAGUGAGAUAAAAGAAAAACUAAGUGUAUAUUUAAUAUUUUCCUUAUACUACUUUGCAUUGUCAACAUAGCAAUUGGUUGCAAUUCAAUUUGAAGAAUUCCCCUGUAACAUGUCUACACGCUCAAGUUAUUCGAAGUCGGAGAAUGAUAUAUAUGAAACACGCGCGGCAGCACUUGAGUGUACACUUAAAUUUUAAUUUAACUAUCAUUUCCUGCAAAUGUAGGAAAUAAAUAAUUUAAUACAUAAUUAUUUAAUCAUUUUUCUAGUUUUGUCCAAAGAGACAUUAAAAUAUCAUUUUUUUAAAAUCUACUGUAGAUUUUUCUUAUUCUUGUAGAAGACCAGAUAUUCACGGUAGAGAUCAAUCAUGUUGCUUGAACAACAGAUAUUAAUAAUGUCAGAUCUUGUAUGAAAAAUCAGGAUAUAAGAAUAUUAAAAAGAGAAAAAUGGAGUUUACUCAUAUUUUUUUUAAUGAAAUGAUCAUUAAUUAAUUUAAGAAUUAACAAGUUAAAAAUCAAACUUAAGUAGUGGGUUGACAUUAACUAGACGCAUGCAUCGUGACGAAGACUUUGAUCUGCCACAAUCUACAAUGUAAACGUGUUAGAUUCAGUUUUAAACCAAUGGCUUUUAUUAAUAAAGUCAUUUAAACAAUGAAGUUGGAGAGGUUUUCCUUUAAAAAAAAGGUGUCUACUAUCGAUAUAAUUAAUUGGGAUCCAAACUUGGAGAGGUUGUUUGUUUAUUUCGUAAGAUUCAGUUCCUUUGAUUCUGUAAUGGUCAAAAUGGGAGCAUCAUCUUAUAAUGGCAAAUUUCCCCCGAAGGGGUCCUUUUACAAAGUAAUUCUCAAAAUGGGAUUCUUUCUAAACAAUUUUUGGGAUGGGUCUGUUUUUGACGUGAACUUCCAAAGAAAACGCCAGCAGCAAUGGCGAUUUGAGCAUGCAGCAACACGUGGAGGGAAAAUCGCCAAUAUCAGCGGCGAUUUCGUGUCACCUGGACUCGCCAGUUUGACUGGCGAGUUGCACCCUGUCUCGCCAGACACAGUGGCGACAUGCCUCCAGGCUAGCGCUUCUGCCGGUCUCGCCAGUUUGACUGGCGAGAAACUUGAAAAAAAAUUUGUUCAUUUUCUCCUAUAAAUGGAUCUCUCCUUGACUCCUUCGCGUACCAGUUCAAAAAAAAGAUUGUGAGUGUGUAUAUUCUAAGUAUGUGUUUGGUUUCUGUUAGUGAAAAAGCUUUGCUCCUCCUUGUGUUGCUUCUUGCUCGUGCGUAGCUCCCCUUUCUUAUAAGUGUUUUUAACUCAUGUUUUAAAUUUCAUGGCACACACUUAUUUUGAUUCUGAACUUUGAACUCUUAAAGCUUGAAGGCUCAGGAAUUGCUGAAUGUACCCCUAAAUCCUUGAGUUAGGAUCGUACUAUAUCUAAUUAUAUCUUAUUUUAUUUUAUAUAUGAGAAUCAGAAUAACGUGUAACGUGAACCACCAAGCAAAAUUAACUAGUGGCUGUAUCAUAUUUAAGUGAGACAGGACAUUAGAAUGAAAACAAUAAAAUUAUUUUUAGAUUUUUACUUUACUCACGUGCAUGUCAUUGAUCUUACCCCAUGGCCAGAGGAUACAGGGAAUGAGAUAUAAACUAGAAGUGUCACAAAAUAAAGUUCUCGUCUUAAAUUUUUUCCUUCAGAUAUUAGGAAAAAAUAAUAAAUAAAUAAAAGAGUGCUAAUAGUUUUAUACAAUUAAUUUUAUUAUUAAUAAUUUAUUUAUAAUUUUUAUGACUAAUAAUUAAUAUUAUGAGAAAAAUAAAAAUAAAAGAGUAAUAUUAGAUUAGUUUAUUUAAACUUUUUUAUUAAAUAAAUAUUUAAUUUAAUAAAAUAAAUAGUUUUUUUAUUUUUUAAUGUAUUUAUCUAAAUUGUUUUUUAAAUAAUGUUAUACUUAUUUUAAAAAAAAAUUUAUCUGUUUCUUAAAAUAGAUUUAUUUUAAAUUUAAUUUUUAAAAAUUUAAAUAAACUCACUCAAUAUUAUAUUAAAAAAUUAAAAUGUCAAUCAUUUUAUAACUUAUUUUUUAUAUAAUAAUUAUUAUUGGACGGAAAAAAGUAAUAUUUCAAUCCAUAAUAACCAGAAAAAGAAGAUAAAACAUUUCAAUCCAUAAUUGCAUAGAUCAUAGUGCCUUUUAUUUUCCCCAUACAAGUCGUAUGUUCCUUUUUUAUUUUUUGCGCCAAUAAUUGCUGCAUCAUUUGUUUUCUUUACAAAGUGAUGGGACUACAUAACUACUCGAGAUAAAAAUAUGAUUUCAUUAUAUUUUUUACCCUCAAUUUAUUGUUUUUAUUUUGCAAAUUUUGUCCUUUAUUUUUUUAAUGUAUUUUACCUCAUUUUUUAAAUGCUACGAAUUCUUUCUUUUUGUUAUAUAUCUGUUGGAUCAUGAACGAUAUUAACACUUUUUUUUUUUGGCUGUUUAAAUUAUCAUGAACACAAAUAUUGAAAAUAACUAUUUUUUAACAUAAUGAUACUUUUUAACUGUGACUAGUAAUAUAUUUAGUUUCUUUUAUUUCCAACAACUCCGUAUAUUUACUGUUUCGAUGCUUAUUUUCUUUAAUGAAUCACUAUGGAGAUGUUGGACUAUAGAGUUGUCGGGCGUAAAAGAAAUUAGAACUUAUUAAUAAUGUCAAUUAAAAAUUGUCAUUUUGCAUGUUAAAAUAUAUAUAUAAUUCUAACUUUCCAAGUGCUUAUGUUUAGGCGCUGUUCAAAAUCAUCAGAAUUCGAAAGUGUUGCAUAUAAAAGUUAUGACAUUUUGAAACGUGGGAGACAAAAUAUGUGAAAAAAAGUUGGCAGAUAAAAUUAAUCAGAAAAUAAUUAAUUGGAGGGGGAAAUUGUAAUUAAGCUCAAAAAUAUGUAAAGUUAGGCCACAACGUCAAAAUUUCUGCAACAUAUUUAGUAUUCCGAAAUUUUAUUUAGGCAUAACAGUGAUUAGAGAUCAAUGAGGUCGAAUUCAGAGUGUAAAAAAGGGUAGGCCGGAUUUUUAAUUUUUAUAUAAUUAUUUAAAUAUUUAACUUUUAACAAAUAGUUAUUUAAUAAAUAAUAAGUUUAAAAAAUAUUUAUUAUUAAUUUUGUGAAUAAAAUUAGAGAUAUGAUCUACUACUAAAUUUUUUUAGAACAAAUAUCAAUUCAAAAAUAUAUUUUUCUUACAUAUUUUCCUUUGUUAUUUUUUUAAAAAAAUAUUCUUUUUUUCUUCUAACUCAAUUGAUUGAAUAUAUUUGAUUUUCACAUAUAAUAAAACUAUGACUAAAGUGGUGAUUGAGGGAAAACAAAUUAAUUUUAUAUAAAAUGAUGACUCGAGUAUAUUGAAAGGCUAAUAUAAUAUAUAGGUAUAAUUCGUGUCCCCACUCCAAUUAUUUUCCCCGAUUAUCACUAACUAUCUUCCUCACUAUUUGAUCGAAGUGAAAGAAAACAAAAAUAAUACUAGUAUAUGUUCUUUUUGAAUUUAAACUGAAAUUUUAUUUGUAUCCGAGUAGGUUCUUCAAAUUGUUACAUUGGAAUGAUAAAACAUACAUUUCGCUGAUGAUGAAUGAUCAAUCUUAAUAUUCAUGACCAGUUAAUUAAUUAUAUAGAGACCUCAACAUCACAAACAUGAACAUUAACAUUUCUCUUAAUAUAUUACAUCAUCAUAUUAAUUAUAUUUAUAUAUCUUUUCUUCUAUCCUUAGGUGUCAAUUAAUAUAGUGGUGUGCAUGCAUCAUUUUCCUUUAUUUAUACUUAAUCGUAACUUUGUUAUCUUACCAAGAAACGAAAAAAAAAGGAAAAAAAUCAUAUGUAAAUUUGGCACAUGGGCCACUGUAAUGAGUAUAGCAGCAUAACACGUGAAGCACGGUAUGCUCGAGGGAAAAGCUCAAAAGCCCAAUUAUUGCUUGUUAUGAAGCUAUCUAAAUCUUUUGCGUAUAAUAUAUCUUCAAAACUUAGAGAUUAAGAAGUAAUAUGGAAAAAAUGAGGAAGAUAUACAGAGUAUUUGGAUUCCAAUUGGAAGCAACGAAACUAUUAUAUUUUAGUCAAAACUACGGAAGAUAUAUAGGCAUUUACCAACAUGAUCAUAUUUUAUGGUUUUUAUAACAAAAUUCCAAAGAGACACGAAAUAAGCUCAGAGAGAUGAGGUGGCGUGCCAGGUUGUGUGUGUGAUCAUGAAGGUGCAAUAAUGGAGAAACUAGAGAGGGUAGUGAUGUGGUAGCAGCGUCGUAUAGUGGUGGAUCAAAGGACUGAUUAUUGUUGUUCGGUUCAAGCUAGGGCUAACAGAUCAUUGCUGUCCAAUUCCUUAAUUCAAAUAACUCGUUUUCAAUUAAUAGUUAUAGUUAUUAUAUUACAUUAGUCUAUAAUCUAUAAAGUAAUAAUUAAUAAAAAAAACUGAUUAUAUCUAAUAAAAAGUUCUAGUUGACUGCGGUUUCUAGCUUCCUCUACCGACGGAACUUUCUUUUAUUAUACUAGUAUAUGACAUAAUAUAAAUAACGCAACUAAAAUCAAUACUCACAGAAUGCAUGUAACCUAAAACUAAAGAGGAUUUGAAACGAUUGUAUCUGUUUAAGAGAAAAAGACAAAAUGCAAUAUCCUUCGUUUACCAAAUUAUUUUUUAUAGAAAAAAUAUUAUAAUUUUUUAUAAAACACACAAUAUGUAGGCCAAAAAAAUUAGAAAGGACAAAACUAAUUUUUUUGAGAGUGAAAAAUAAAUGUUAUUAUAUAUAUAUAUAUAUAUAUAUAUAUAUAUAUAUAUAUAUAUAUAUAUAUAUUCACAUUCAAGUAAAAAAAUGGUCUGCAUCCGUCAUUCCCCACUGAUCAUGUUGGCUGCGAUAAUAUCACAAUAUUAUCAUUUAUCAGAUAUGAUAACACCUAAAUAAUUUGCAUGUCGUGCACGUCCAAGUUCCACGUGCUUGUAAUAUAUCAUCACAGAAACAUAUAAUUGCCUAUAUAUAUAUUUUUAAAUAAAAGGUGUCUUCAUGAUCUUAUUUUUUAUUAUCAGAAAAACAAGUAAUGUAAGAAUGAUAGGAAAAUGAUAUAGUAAUCUACAAAUCAUGCAGAAAUAGAAAUGGUGUGCAAAUAUAUAAAUUAAAAUUAAUCUCGAUCUGAUUCUCCAGCUCUUGCCUUGUGAAACUUGAAUUCUUAGUUACUGCAUAUAUUAAUUCGGUGUCCAACUUAUACAAAUAGCCCUAUAAAUAGCAUGCCAAUUCCACAUUACCUUCACACCAAAUCCAUUCAUCCAAGUUCAAAGAUGAAGAUGAUCCACGUUCUUUUCCUCUUUGCUCUUGUCUCGUUCACUUCCCAUGCUUCUGUCAAUGAUUUCUGUGUAGCAGACCUAAAAGGUCCAGAUAGCCCUUCAGGCUAUCAGUGCAAGCCACCUAACACAGUCACAGUGGAUGACUUUGUGUUCUCUGGCUUUGUAGCUGGAAACACCACAAACACUUUCAAUGCUGCAUUAACCUCCGCAUUUGUUACUGAUUUUCCAGGUGUGAAUGGUCUUGGUGUAUCUGUGGCACGGUUAGACAUAGCCAAAGGUGGAUCAAUCCCAAUGCACACACACCCUGCUGCCACUGAACUUCUAAUAAUGGUGGAAGGUCAAAUCACUGCUGGUUUUAUGACCCCAACUGCACUUUAUACCAAGACACUGAAACCUGGAGAUAUUAUGGUUUUUCCACAAGGACAGUUGCAUUUUCAGGUUAAUUCUGGAAACGGAAAAGCCACUGCUUUUCUGGCAUUCAGUAGUGCAAACCCUGGAGCACAACUACUUGACCUUCUGUUAUUUGGCAACACCUUGCCUUCUGACUUGGUUGCACAGACUACCUUCCUUGAUGUUGCACAAGUCAAGAAGGUUAAGGCUCGUUUUGGUGGCAGAGGCUAGGGUUUCUUAUGAAUCAACUCAUACCUAGUGUUUGUUUUAGUGAUAAUCGUCAGCAAUUAAUAAACUUGUGCAUUUGGGUGUGUUUUGCUUUCAUUUUAAGUUUGAUUCCAAACUUAUGAUUUGAGGGUUUGAAGUUUGACGAUGUAUAAAUAAAAAUUUUAGAGUUUAGUUUGAGUGCAUCAUUGAUUUCAAGAAAGUAAUUAAGAAAGAAAUCAAGAUGUUCACUUGAUUUCUUUUAUUAUAAUAAAAAUAAUAAUAUUUCAAACAAGAUAUUAAUAAAAAGUUUAAUACCUUGUUGUGUUUAUCCUUAAUUUUUUUAAUAAAUAUGAGUUACUAAUUAGAAUCAUUAGAUUAAAAGAAAACAAAUGAUAUAAAUGCAGGACUGGUAACUUCUUUAAUCUCUUAGAGCAACUUAAUCUCUUCUUUAAUAACAUAUCUAAAGUAUACAUACUAUGGCAGCGCUCUUGUUAUCAUUUAAAAUUUCCCCACUAUUAAUUAAUAAUGUCGUAUCGUCCACCUUAUUUUACGUUCUAGAUCUAUAUUUGGUUUAAAGAGAGGAGGAGAAGGAAAGAGGGGGAGAAAUUUUGAUUACACAUUUUGUUUUGUUAAGAGAAGAACAAAUGAAAGAUUUUAAUAGGAGGAAAAAUGAUCAUUUUCUUGUUGGGUUCAUAAGUGGAGAAGGGAUUAUAAAAAUUAAUUUACUUGUAUAUUUAUAUAAUUUUACAUUUCAACACAUAAGAGAGGGAUAUUUUAAUUAAUGCACUUCAGAUGUUUUAAAUCUUUUUUCUUUUUUCUCCUAAAAAUUAAACCAAAUAAUAAAAUUUUAUAAAAAUAUAUCCUUACCAUUCAUUUUUCUCCAUUUUCUUUCAACCAAGCAAAAAAAGAGAAAAAAAUAAUAAAUAUAAUAUAUAAUGUGACUAUGAGUUGACCCGGUCAAUGUCAAAACAACUGAAAUUUAGUAAUAUGUUUUAGAAUAUUCUUAUUUUGGUAAUUACUUUCUAAUAGUACCUCUACUUUGGUCAAUCUGCAGCCUUUAAUACAAUUACUUCUUACCUUUAAAUUUUUAGAUUCUCUUCCCGGUAACUAUUAAUGAAUAAAAAUAUUCAAACUACCCUUUUCAUCCUUCUCUUUUUUUACUUCCUAUUUUAAAAGUAAUAAAUAUAAAACGUAUUAAAUAAUAACAUAUUCAAACACACUAAUACCUUGUUUUACUUAUUUUAGGGUGGAUUCAGAAGGAAACAAGGGAGAGAAAAAAAUAAAAAAAGGAUAAUAUAAAUGUGAUAAAUGAUGUAACUGGUGAAUUGAUCCGGUCAAUGGUAAAAAUUAUCAAAAUUUUUAUAUAUAAUAUAUCACAUUUUAGUGAUUAAAUUCUAAAAGUGUCAUGUUUUGGUCAAUGAUUCCUUAAUGGAAUUACUUAAAGGACUUAUAUUAAAAUUUUCAAAUCUUUUGUUUUCGGUUUGUAAGAAUGACUAUAAACAUUUAGACAGUGAUCAUAUUGGAUACGAUGAUAUAUGAUAUCUUGUUUAAUUGUUUAAAAGCGGUAUGUUGUCUUAACAUAUGUUUACUGUUAUUUUUUAUUAUUUAGGUUCCAAAUUAAUAACAAAUUAUUAUUUACUUUUUGUUUUAUUAAUGAUGCGGGAACCUUACUUUACUGAAGAACAGAGUUUUGUUUAGGAGGCAUGGUGAAAAUUUCUAAAUUCUGUCAGUAACCUAAGUUGUAUUAGAAUUUUAUCUUCCAUAAGCUUGGCCUAUUGUUAGAGCUUGUGCUUGUAUAUCAGUUAGUUUGAUAGUAACACUGAUGAUCUCUUAAACAUCUGACAGGAAUUUGAAUGCUUGAAUUUAAAUUGUGUAGGAAGUGGUUUGUUGUCAUUUGAAUGCUUGAAUUACACUGUCUUCUGUAAAGUGUUUUUUCUAAAUAUAUUUUUUUAUCCAUGAUAGUCCAUUUAAUUUUUUUUACUGAAUCUGGAGAACAUGUCAGCCAUGCCAUUUUGAUAUGUUCAAUUGUCCAUUAAUUUCUGUCUGCUUUUUCUUCGAUUAUUGCUAUUUUUUAUUCCCAUGAUGGAGUUCUGGUUAUUCAAUUCAUAUUUCUGGCCUUCGUUUGGAUUUGACUAUUACAUGUUUAGAUAUGCUUAUUUUAGGGGCUCGAUUUAUUUUGGUCAUGAAGCUUUCUACUAAACCAUGUGAUGGCAUGAUGUGCACCUAAUUUCUUAGUGGAGUCCUUAUUUUACUCUUGACUGAUGCAUUUACCAGUUUGUCUUUAUUUUUUAUUUCAAAUUAGGUAUAUAGAAAGUAGAAGAAUAGGAGUAUCUUAGAAACAAUAAAAGAAAUUCCUAUUUGUGUUACAGACUUUUGAAUUUAAGUUGCCGAUAACUGAUUAAACUUUUGAAAACGUGCAAUUUAUAUUGAUUUAUACUUGAGAUAUCUCAGGCAAGUGUAUUUAUCUGAAAUGCCAAUGGUUGUGAUUUGUGAAUCUUUGCUUAAUUUCAUAGGAGCAUUGUUUGGGCGUUAUUAUGACAAGGAUUCAAAGGUGUAAACCCAAUUAUCAGCUAUUUGUUUGAUUGUUUGUGUAACCUACGGUCAUCAUCCAAGGGAGCAUCAUUUAUUUUGUAAGACAUGCAUGCUUUCUAUGUUAAUUUAUAAGUUUGUUUAAUUUUUUUUAUGAUUACGUAAAUUUAUUAUUUAAUAUAUCAUAUAGUAUUAAAAAUACAUUUACCAAUUCGAUGAUGAUUCAUCUCAAGAAUUUAAUGAGAUUUCAAAACAUAGAGAUAUAUAUGGAAAAUUAAAGUAAUUCCCACUGCUAGAGAGAUAUAUAUAUUUGCUAAUAAUAUAUACCGAAAAUUAAAGUAAGACUAAGAUAUUCUGUUUAUUUCUUUCUUUGUAGUUAGAUAGAUAUAAAAUAAUAAAUUAAAAAUGUAUGAAUUGUAUUGUUUUAUAGUGUGAUAAAAGGAGUUUCAAUAACUUGUAUUAAAUAUUAACCAAUAACCAGUAGUAGUACUUGUAAUUAAAACAAUAGUAAUAAUACAAGAAAAUCAAAUAAUUGGAUUAGGAUGUACUACAAAUGAGAAAAUAAUUUAUGCACUUUUAACUUGGCUUAUUUAUUUUAUACUCAUAAAUUGCUUGUUCGAUCAGGAUGUAACAAAUUACUAUUGUUGGCAUUUAAUUCAAGGAAAAUAACAUGAGAAAAUAUUUAAUAUUUUUUAUAAUUUUUCAUUAAUUUUAGGGUAUGAGAUGAUACCCAGUAAUGCAUACUAAAAAAAGUAAUCACUCAAAUUCAACGUUUGCAUUAUAGAUGUUCUUCUUUUUAAUAUUUUAAAUAAUACUUAUUUUUUCAAUUAUAAAGAUUAAUUUUUUUAAUAUUUUAAAAAUUAAAUAAAAAUUUCUAUAUUUUAAAAAUGAAUUCAAUAAAUUUAGAUAUUUUUUUAAAUUAAAAGAUCAUUUCAAAACAAUUAUUUAAAUAUAUAUAUAUAUAUAUAUAUAUAUAUAAUUAUUUUUAAAAUCAUAGUAAAUUCCCUAAAGAUUUUAUUCAACAAGAAAAUUCACAGAAAAUUACCUACGAAUUUUAUUCUGUAAGAAAAUCCACAAGUAACUUUAUGUUGAUAUUAAAAUAACCACCAAGCUUAAUUGACUACCUAGUACCCCUCCUCCAUAACGACAUUCCCCACCAAGAUAUCCUACUACACUACACUAACAGUGAUGAUAGCUUGUCACCGCCAGUGUAAAAAUAGAGUGGCCAGCUACUGUAUGCAAAAUUGCUGCAUGAGAACCACAUAACACUGUCAGAACUCAGAGAAGCCUGAGUAUUGGACGAAAGAGACUUGAAAGGAGGGAUCAGGCCGUAAAAACACAAUUCCUAUCAGGCACGGCAUUAUUGAAGACAACUUUAUUUCUCUUUUUCCAAAGGAAGAAGUUGACAGCACUCCAUAAAAUUUGCCCGCCCACAGAAGAAGUUUUAGAGAAUCCCAUACCUUCAUUUUGCCAAAAAAGAGCCUCAAUGGAUAAGACAUGUUAGAUUUUUUAAUGGAUCUGUAACACUACAACAUGUAGAACCUAAUUAUAAGACCGGAGCCAUACCUUGUUGAAAAGUGCAUGAGCAUUGCCAAGUUUUGGAAGAGCACCACAUUCCCUUUUUGAUUACAUAAGGUCAGAGUUCCAUUCAGGCAAAACUAAUUACAAGAAAUACAUUCAAAUUCAGCUAACUAUAAUGGGUUUAAUAUAUAUACCACUGACCAUAUAUCACUUGGCAUGGCCACGAUAAGCUUUUCUGUUACACUUACUGAGGAUUGAGGACCUGAUGUCCCAAAGGAAUCUGAUACAUGUGGAAUAGAAUCUUGCUUAGUCACAUCCAUUGUCACAAGCCCUACAAUUUCUAUUUCAUCCAAUUGACCAAUGUCGUGGAUGAGUGUGUACAUCAAUGUUAAUGUCUAUUGACAUACUACCCGCACUCCUUGGCCUCUCACGUGCCUGUAUUCUCGUUGGUUCUACUGGUCCUUUGUAAGUGCUCCUACUUCUUGGUGGUUGUCCCCUAUUUUGUACCCAAACCAAAAUGCAUGAUUAACAAAUUAAGUUGCACCACUUUUAGUUUUCAACAGAUAUAUAAUUUGAUUAAGUUGCUAGCUGAGUAACUUUCAUUCAUAAUUUGGCACCUUACUGAUCCACCUUCUGGUUCACUAGGUGGACAUGCCUGCACAGGAAGUUGUUGAGUGUGCAGGCAUCCAUUGCUACUCUUGAAAUCGUUUUUAUAUAUGUCUAUAUGUUUCUGUGUUGAAUGUGCAGGUUGUACAAACCGUAUAUUAUGUUAGGCUUCCCUAACAUAUAUAGCAGCCACCAAUGUUGACUGUUGUUACUAAUGUUGUUCUUUUGCAGUACAUGAAUUGGAUCCCAAAUUUGGUAAUAGUUUAACCUAAGACAGCAGCUGCAAAACUGGUGAUUGGCUUGUGCGUGACACCAAAACUGGUGAAAUGUUGACAAGAGCCUCCAGGUAGAUAUCAGUUUCAAGAAUCAUUUUUUUCUGUUGCCUAUAGACAUGUUUUGAAGAGUAUUUCUGAAUCUCAAUGUUUCACUCUGUUGAUUUGGCACUGCUUUUAAUCUCACGAGGCUAUGUGAAGUUAUCUAUUAUCAUUUUUACUUUAUCUUAAUACACCACUAUUGAAACACAAUUAAUUACAGAUUUAACCAUACAAAAUUUUGUUGAUGACAAUGUUUUAAUCUACCAACAGAAUUUUCGUACAUGCUUACAAAAGAAGGCAACAAGUGGGAUUAGGAAGAUGCAUGAUAUGACCAACACAGAGCAAUGAUGGAAAUUGAUAUCCCUACGUAUAACUACAUCAGACUAGCACAUACACAUACACAUACCAAAUACAUUAUAAGCAAAAACUUAUAGCAUUAAUAAAAAAAAAGCUCAAAUGAUGGUAUAAACUUGGAAGUACCUCUGAUUCCCUUUGCAGUCUGACUUUGGCAACUAAGAAACUAUGAAUACCAACCCAACAGUCAGCCUUCAAAACCUAAAAUUUUUUAGUCAAAAAUGGCAUAUUAGAAUAAAAAAUGCAUUUAUACGAGACAAAAGGGAAAAAAAUUCAACAAAAAACAGGAAAGGAACAGAAUUUGCACACAAAGAAAGGUGCAUGCUGAACAAACAACAAAAGUAUAAUGAUUCAUGUUCAUAUGUUUAACUAAAACUCAUAAAUAGAACUUCUGACAUUUGGACUUAAAUACAGUUUGUAAAAUUUGGGCUGCUCUCUAAUCAGCUGGAAAAAAAAUUUCGUGGGAUUCAGUUACGCCUUAAGUCUAAAUGAUUAUGACCAUGUUUAACUGCAUCUAAUUCUUAUAUAUAGUUGCUUUCAUUAAUUUAAAUUAAUUUGUUUUGGUUUUGUUUAUGUUUCAUAUCAUACCAUUCUGGAGGCAACAUAGGAACAGUACAUGUCAUGCCUAUAUAGACAUGAAACUUGGUACAAGGCUUCAUGGUGUCUUUCAAAAUUGUUAACUAUUAUUUGUUUGUGAUGUCAUUAGUCAAGUUCUGAUCAUAAUCUGGAGUUACUUUGUCACAGCUGAUAAAUGUUUAUAUGGCAAACUACUAGACCGGAGGACAAUUUUGGCCUACAGUGCACAACUACACAAUUUUUUUAUUUGUUUUCAUAAGUGGAGAUCCAUACAUCCUUCACACAAUAGUUUUCAGCCAAGGCAAGCGGGACAGGGAACAACAAUUCUAUGUACGGUUUGACCCAAGUGCAGGUUUCCAUAGUUAGUCUAUCAUGUGGAACCCACAGAGGAUUAUGUAAGUCCUUAUUAUCUACAAAAAUAGUCCAGUAUGUUUCCUUUUUUCUCUAUUCUAUCCUAUGAUCCUUAACAUAGUUUCUCAUACUCUCUUUAAUUUAGAUUCUGAGUUUUUUCUAUAUAAUAUGCUCAGUUAACUACAGUUGCUUCUCUAUAGAGGCAUAUGCUCAGUUUUUGUCAAUAAGAACUGCCCAUUAUGUCGUGAUUGGGGAGAUCUUGUUUCAUUCUCUUAGUUUUGGUACUGUUGGGGGCUUCAAGUACAGCUGAGUGCACAAGAGACAUAAGGGACUUCCAAAGCUUGUUUGGAAGCCAAUUACCAAAAGGGUCAGUGCCACCAUCUGGACCCUCUUCAUGUCAGAACAACCUUAGCCCUUACAAAUACAGCAAACCUUCAUUUCCAAAUUAUUACUAUAAUUUUUGUCCUUAAUAGCACUUGUCAAGGAUAGAAGCAUGCAUAAGAAAUAUAUGAUAUAUCUAGCUAAUUGUAACAUGAGUAGAUUGCAUAAUUCAACUUAAUCAUAUAUUUAAUUGAUUUCAGUUGUAAACAUUUUUUUAAGUGAUUAAUAAUGCACAACCUUAAGCAGUUAAGUUACAAAAACUAAAUAACCUGGCUUGCAUUUGGAAUAUACCUUGUCAAUCCACUGUCAGAAAGAUGAGGAUUCAAAUCUGUAUGAACCAAUAUGUAGGCUGACUUUAUAUUCUUAUGAAGAAAAGAUGAUGAACAAAGUUCAUGUAGGUACCUAGGAGAAAAACAAGUAGAGUUAGCUUCUUCAUUCUCAGGGCAAAAAUUUACAUUGAUGCUUGAAGUCCAAAAAUUUCACAUAACAACUUCAGCUUUAACAAUAACUAAUUGUAGUCAAGAUAUUAGAGUCUAUAUAAGCAAGUGGACAAUAGUUUCAUACUAGCUGCCACUAUUCUUAUAAUUAAAAGUUCAAUUGUAUCCCAAAGCUGAGUGGUGUGUGACAAUUGUCACACUUUAAGCCCUAAAAGCCUCCUAUGCAACAGGACAUGUUAAUAUUAAACCAUGCAAAGUGGCACUCUCACAAUGCAGCUCCAACCAUGUUCUUCAGUUCCUUCGCUACUUGGACCAGUUUGGGAAGACCAAACUGCACUCACAAGGGUGUUUGUUCUUUGGGCAAGCUGAGCCACUAAAGUGCACUCACAGUGCAGCUCCAACCAUGUUUAUGUCUUUUGUGCCUAUAUUAUAUAAUAUAAUAUAUAUUUUGCCUAUAUAUAGUUUUCUUUUCCGCAUAAUAUCUUGCUUCUAAUUUAGUGUUAUUGGUAAUCCCUUUUUGUGGCUUCCACAAAUAAAUCAACAAAUACCAGUCCAAUGGAUCAGAAUUCACUUAUAUAUAUGCAAAGAAUGUGAAUUUAUAUAUCAUUAUUAAUGUAAACAUUUUAUUGGUGAAUAUUAUCAACCUUAUUUGAAUCUUCAUGUCUGUUCUGAUAUUGUAAAUCUUUAUAUAUAAAAUGACUUCAACUUUUAUACAGACAAAAACAAAAAGAAUGAACAAAAAACAACAACAAUGCCUCUACCAAAAUCCUUGGUCCAAAAUAGGAAUGCCUCUACCAACUAUGUUGCUGAAUACAAUAAUUAUGUAUAUUAUUACAAUUUCCUUAAUGCAUAUGCUUCAGGUCGUUACAAAAUGAUUAGGCUACCUCUAUCUAUAAACACCCAAGGGAUUCAUGGAAUUGGUACCUCAUCACUACUUUGAACCAUUUGUAUAUAAUAUUACUAACAAAUUUAUGAAUGGCUUUUCUUCGAUCCACCUUCGUGACCUCAAUGGAUCUUUCAUAAAUGCUAGCCAUAGUCUGUGCAACUUACUAUUAUGGAUAUGGUCCAACACCAAAGCUUCAGACCCCCAAACCCAAAACAGAUUACAAAUUUGACAAACCACACCCCAGAAUACCCAGAUUACUAUGUAGUGCCCAAACCAAAAGGAAACGAUGAACUACAUCUGCUUCCCACAAUCAUUGGUGUCCAAGGAAUUGAAAAUAGAAGCUACCCUAACACAGAUAUCCUUUUUUUGUUAAACCUUCAAACUUCUAGCCUAAAAAACCCAGAGCCUAAAAAUACGUACAAAAUUCUGCCAAAAAUGUUAUACAAUGCUCCAUGCUCACACAAAAUAAUGAGCACAUUACUAGAUGCAACAUUAUUCACCAAAGACCACAAACAAGAUUCAACUACAGAGUAUUUCUUUCAAUACAUUGGCAGCAGACACCAUAGCAGUCACAAACGUUGGAGUACAAAGAAAUGUACCUCUAUGGCGAUACCCACGCACCGAGUAGCGACGAAUGAGGCAGGAGACUUCUCUAGGUCACAAAACAACCUUCCCAACACGAGCGAGGGUAGUAAGAAGGAAUGCUUAACGCAGUACUCGGGAGGGGAGUAAGAAGAGACGAUGGUAAAUGGGAGAUAGGUACGACCUAGGGUGCGCGCGUUAAGAAAACAACGACGGUCUGGUGCAGAAGACCGUCUUCAUUUUUCCCAAAAAUAAUUAUGAGAUUGCCACUAAGAACCGAUUUACGAUCGGUCCAUAUAACCGUCCUUAGAAUGACAGAGUCAUACAAAACUUAUCCAUGCAAAUAAUUACAAAAAAUAUCACUGUGUAUAUGUUCCUCAAGAAUCAUCUUAAAAUUAGCAUCAUAAAUCAGCUUUUUUUACUAGUGGAUCUCAAAAAUUUUAACGACUGAAUUAGAAUAUUUCAAUCACUAAACACUACUUCUUUUUAGUGGAUUCUACAGAUUUUGCAUUUAGUACUUAAUAAUUUUUUAUUUAUUUUUAAUAUCUGAAAAAUUUACAAAUUUUGCAUUUAUCCUUGAAAUGUAUUUUUUGGUAUUUCACCUCUAUCAUUACAUUGGCUCUAUUAAGUUGUUCCUAAUAUAUUUUUUCUUUUAGUCUAUUUUUUUUCCUGAAAUUAUCGGUAUGUCUUUUUCAUUAGAAGUUAACGUCUCAAGUUAACAAAGUCAAUAUAAUGAUAGGGAUUAAAUAUAAAAUAAAUAAAUACAAAUUUAAAAUAACAAUUAUGAUUGAUGUAUAAAAAAAUUUACAAAUAUAUAUGAGAAAAUUUGUUUUAAAUAUAAUAUUUUGAUUUUUUUUUCUACACUAUUUUUCCUUAUAUUUUUUUUACAUUAUAUUUUUUUAUAACUACAGUUAUCAUAUCUUUUUUUUUUUCUUUUAACUUUUCUCCUGUCUUUCUUUUAUUCUUUAUCAUCUUUUUACCCAAAUAGCAUCUAUUAAGAUGUGUGAAAAAAGGAUUUAAAUUAAUAUCUUUUUAUUCAUUUAAAUUCGGAUAAUUUUUUUAUAUUCCAAACUAAAAAGUAUUUUUAGUCUCAUACUUUGGAAAUAAUUAUUUUUUAGUCCCUAAUUUGUGAUCAUUGUAGUCCCUGAUAAGGAUUAAAUGAAUUAUUUUCAAAUUAUGAGACUAGAAAAUCACUUUUAAAUUUGAAAGACAAAAUAAAUUUGGCAAUUUAAAGAAAGAAAAAGAUAUUUAAGUUCAAAAAAAAAACUUUAGUUCUAGAUCAAUUCUUGUAAAGAGAAAGCAUUGGUAAUUAAAUUAAAUGUUGUCAUUAUCUAGUUAGGCCUUACAGAGUUGAUAUAUAGUCUCAUGAAUAUUGAUAUUGAUUUGCCAAACUAUGACAGCAUUAAUUAAUUUGGCAUGCAUCAUAAAGAGUAAGUAUUAAUUAAUUUAAAGCUCCAAAAAUAUUUAAAGCAUCGAAUUAACUUUAAGUUAGACAUUAAAUUAGUAGUUAAUAAUAUAAAAUUAAAUAUUAAUGUAAGGACUAAAAAAAUUAUAUCCUAAGUAAGAAGCCAGAGAGCUAAUUUAGAAAAUGAUGGGUAUGAUAAUAUCUUGUCUAUAUAUUUUAUAUCUAUUACAUAAUAUAUAUAUAUAUAUAUAUAUAUAUAUAUAUAUAUAUAUAUAUAUAUAUAUAUAUAUAUAUAUAUAUUAUUUAUGUUCGAUAUAAUUUUUUAUAUAUCUUCACACAAAAUUUUGACAUAUAAAAUUAAAUUAAACAUAUAAUAUUGAUUAAAAUAUUAAAAAAUAAAUUAAUAUUAUUCAAAUAUUUUUUUAAAUGUGUAAUAAGAAUAAUAUUAAAAAUAAUUAAAUUUAUAAAUAUUACAUUUUAUAAAAAAAAGAAACUAAUAUCAAUUAUUUAAGCUUGUUGUCUCAACUUUCAAGUCUCCUCAAGAAAUAGGUGGAACAACUAGUUAGCUCUAAUGAAAAACGUUCUCAAUCUCUCAUGUUUUUAUGAAAAGGCAAUGCUUGUUUAGAUAGCCAGUUUUGCUUCCCAUGGUUUUGCUAUUGACAUUUUGUUUGGUGGAAUUUCAUUCCUACCUUUAUUUCAAUAGAAAUAGAAUAGGUAUUCCUAACUACAAGUUUUCAUAGUUAUUUCAAUAUAAUACCUAACUGUGUGUGUGAUUAUAAAAAAAUGUUAAAAUUAUUACACAAAUAUGUGUGUAAUUAUAAUAAAAUGUUAAUUAAUAUUGUUAGACAAAUGUGUAUCAUAGAUGACUUUUUUUAUGUGGGAGCAACAGAAAUAGACAUUUACUAUUAGAUCUUAUCAUCAACGAUCAAGAUUAAAAAAAUAAAACCAUCAAAAUCAUUGAACACAUUGAUCAACUAACACUCACAUUUAUUCUAACUUAACUAAUUAUCUUCGGUUCAAAUGAUAUAUUUAUACUAAAUAUAUGAGAAAAGUUUUGUUACUCAUAAUAAUCUUACUUCUUUUGAAUAUGAUUAUUUCUCCAAUAUAUACAUGUGAUAGUAUAAAAAAAAUAAAAAUAAUUAUUUUUAAAAAAAUUGUCUAGGUAACCCAAACUAAAAUUGGGAUUAAACAAUCUUAUCCUAGAUGACCCAAUAAAAUUAAAACAACUGUAUUAAAAGUUGGAUUCACAUGUUUAUAUUUUUUAUACACAAAAUUUUGACUGGUUAUAUAUUCUUCUCAUUAUCUUCUACCAGUUUUAAAUUAUGUCCACUUUUUAGAUUUUAGAUUUUUUUUUCUGCAAUUGUUUCUAUACCUUCUCUUACAAGAAAAUGAUGAGAUUUAAUUUUCUUCAUCCAAUAUUGCAUCCAUUAGAGAAACUCCUUUCCAAACACAUUUAUUUAUUUAAAAGGCAAAAGCAACAUUAUUAAUAAACCAAUACCACAAGAGGUGCUUGACUUAGAAAAAAAACACUAUUAUACACAGUAUAGAAAAAGAUGUUCAGCAAACAUGGUGCCUUGACAACAAUAAAAGCACAGCCUGGUUUAUGUUAUUACUAUGCACACCACAUUUGUAAUCUGAUCAAUCGGGAUACCACGUCUAUAAUCCUAAUUGGGAUUCCACAUCGUAGGGUUGUUUCAAAAAAAACUUGAAAGCAAAGAGGAAAAAAGGAUCGAAGAGGAUGAAUGUUUUUUUAUCAACCAAAUUAAAAUUUUAUUCACAAAGGUACCAGUGGUUUAGGGUUUAAAAUUAGUGGUACCAGUAAAACAAAAAAAAAAAAAAGGAACAAACCAAAGCGUGCCUCCAAGUCACCGAAAGAGAAAGAAAAACAAUAUUUGCUAUCUCAAUCAUAAUUCAGCACACAAAACCUAAAACAUAAAUAACCUCCAAUCAAAAUCGAGAACCCCUUCCCAGUAAAAGCCCUUAAUCAGAAUCUUAGUUUAAUUGUUUAUGUAUCCCUUCACAAUGAAUCUUGUCGCCAACACUCCGCGAAAAAAACGACGAACGUGGUGGUGAAAGGGUGAAAUUCGGUGGUGACAAAGAUGUACGCGUGUUUGGGAAUGCAAGAGCGCAAUUUCAGAUUAAAUGUAAUUUGUAAAAAAUAAUAAGAAGAAUAUAAAAUUAGUCAAAGAUUUGUAUCAAAAGAAUUUAAAAAAUGAACCCAAUCCAUAACACACUUGUUCUAAUUUUAUUGGAUCAUUUUGGAUUGGGUUAUGUAACCCCAUUUCUACUUAGGUAUGUUAGAUCACCCCUAAAAAAUCACAUAAUUUUUUAAAGUGAUCAUAUUACUUUCUAAGUGGUAUCUUUUUAUACAUAAAAAAGUGGUAUCUUUUUAAGUGAUUAAAAAAAUGUGACUAUCCAUCUAUGAAUAUAUAGAACAAAUUUAUAUCAUCACUUGAAGUAGUAUUGUCUAAGAGUUUAUUAUACUCUUGUUCUAUUUUACGCAACUCUUAUAUUAUAUCUGAUUUUGUUUUACCAUAUCUUUGCCACCAAACGAACCUUAAAAGACUAAAUUGAAAUUGAAAACAUUUUAAAAGCUAACAUAAUUUCUCACUGUAUGUUUGAAUGACCAAUAGUAGCCUUCCUAAUAUAUUAUUGAAAACAAUCCAAACAAAUCGCAUGCCUUCUUAUCUUGUCCUUUUUUAUUGUUUUUCUAAAAAUAACUAAUGUAGAAUUUCUUUAAUAAAAAAUAUAAAAUUUCUUAAAUAAAAUGGUAACGUUUCUUAAAUUAAUACAAACGAGCAAACGUGAAAGAGACGGUAGUCUCAGCUUUUCUAAGGUUUUGAUAUAGUUAUAUUUUUUUGGACCAAUGGUUGAAUAAGAUAGUUACACACCAACAAGAGAGAGGAAGAGUGAGAGAGCUUCAUCCAACUACGUACGGGCAUUGGAACUCUUUUUCUUGCUAUCUUAAUUACAAUGUUAAUCUCCCUCCUAAUUGCGUUAAUUUGAAGGACUUGCAUAUAUAGUUGCAUUAAUUUAUACCUAACUCAAGAUCAUAUCUUACCCUAUAAAUAGCUAGCCAAUGCAUCGUUCCCUUAUGCCAAAUCCUUUUCAUUCAAGAUGAAGAUGAUUCGCAUUCUUUUCAUCUUUGCUCUUCUAUCCUUCACUUCCCAUGCUUCUAAUGUCAAUGACUUCUGUGUGGCAGACCUGAAGGGUCCAGAUAGCCCUACUGGCUAUCACUGCAAGCCACCUAAAACAGUAACAUCACAUGACUUUGUGUUCCAUUUAGGCCCUGGAAACACUUCAAACGUGUUCAAGUCCGCAAUAACCUCUGCAUUUGUCAAAGAUUUUCCUGCUGUCAACGGUCUUAGCCUUUCUGUAGCACGCAUUGACAUAGCUCAAGGGUGGAGUGGUUCCAAUGCACACACAUCCUGGUGCCAAUGAAAUAGUGAUGAUGGUGGCAGGUGAAAUCAACGCUGGGCUUUAUAACAACCGAUGCAGUUUAUCAGAACACACUGAAACCAGGAGAUGUUAUNNNNNNNNNNNNNNNNNNNNNNNNNNNNNNNNNNNNNNNNNNNNNNNNNNNNNNNNNNNNNNNNNNNNNNNNNNNNNNNNNNNNNNNNNNNNNNNNNNNNAUUUUGUCAUUAACUCUCAUCUGUCAUAGUAGUCUACGUAGCAUAAGGGAUAAAUUUAUUAUUGAAAUGAGUACUAAUGUGAAUUGUCAACAUAUGAACAUAUUUGUCAUAAUUUUUUUUUUGACUUUUUGUCUUUCCACUCCUAACAUAUGCGUCCCUGAAGAUAAAAUACAAACUUUAAUUCUUGAAAGUAUAAAAAGUACAACAAAUAUAUUUGGACAUUAAUAAUAGAUUGUGACUAAUUAUUAUUAUUAUUCGUUUAUAAUUUAGUGCUCCUAUUCGUUUAGUAUUUAUGCAAUAUAUUUUUUAAAUUUUUUUUAUAUAUAUUUUUAUUAUUUUGAUUUCUUUAUCAAACCUUAAUCUUUGUUGUUAAUUUUUUUUAUCUUAUAUCUUAUAAUUUUAUCAAAUUUUUACUAAAUUUCUCAUUUUUAAUCUUUAAAAUUAUUUAAUAUCUCAAUUUUAACUUAAGUACCCUUAUAUUUAGAUUGAAAAUAAUAUGUUGAGAGUUUUGAGUAGAAAAAAUACAACCGGUCACGAGACUAAAUUUAUUUAUUUAUUUUUAAAAAAAGAAUUUAAUCAACUAUUCUUUUUUUUAAAAAAAAGUCUCACAAAAUUUAAUCAAUUGAGUUACCAUUUAAAAAAAUGAAAGUCUUUUAUUUCUUAAAAUUUUUUGUUUCUUCAAUUAAUUAUUAAUUUUUAUUACGUACUCUUCCACGGUAUGUUAAUCUCAUUAGUAAUAAACCUCUGUACUAGUUUUUUUUUUUGAAGUUAAUCUCAUUAGUUUGAGCAUUAUUGUAUUUUUUAUUUAAAUUUAUUUGGAUUCUUUAUUUGUUAGUAACUGUUUUCAUUUCACUUAUAUUAUGUAUAAUAAAAGUUGUCUCGAGUGAAAGCACAUAAGAUUUAUCCAAAUGAUUCUUUCAUAUUUGAGAUAUAUAUAUACAUUAUAUUGAUUAAGGAAAAAGACUUCUAAUUCCACUUUAGCUCUAUCUAGUUUAAAUUUUGUGAGACUUCUUUUAAAAAAAAAUUGAUUAAAUUCUUUUUUUAAAAUAAAUAAAUAAAUAAAUUUGGUCACGUGACUGAUUGUGUUUUUUCUACUUAAAACACUCAACAUAUUAUUUUCAAUCUAAAUAUAAGGGUACUUAAGUUGGAAUUGAGAUAUGGAAUAAUUUUAAAGAUUAAAAGUGAGAAAUUUAGUAAAAAUUUGAUAAAAUUAUAAGAUAUAAGAUAAAAAAAAUUUAACAGUAAAGAUUAAGGUUUGAUAAGGAAAUUAAAAUAAUAAAUAUAUAUAUAUAUAUAUAUAUAUAUUAAAAGGUAAUUUAAAAAAUAUAUUGCAUAAGUACUAAACGAAUAAGAAUAGUAAAUUACAAACACAUAAUAAUAAUAAUAAUAAUAAUAAUAAUAAUAAUAAUAAUUAGUUAUAAUCUAUUAUUAACGCUCGAUCGAUAUAUUUGUUUUACUUUUUAUAUUUUUGAUGACUAAAUUUUAUAUUUCCAUCCUUCAGGACACAUUUGUCAACAGAGUAGGAAGACGAAAAAUAAAAAAAAAAUAUUAUGACAAAUAUGUCACUAUGCUAACAAUCCACCUUAGCAAUCACUUUAGUGACAAAUAUGUCACUCCAUGUCAGGUUACUUUAUUGACUGUGACAGAUGAAAGUUAAUAAUGUGAUAUACUUAUCGUACUUUUAAAUUUUACAUUUAGGAACACAUUUGUCAAUAAAGUAUAUGUUAAGGGACAAAAGUUGCUAUUUACCUUGAAAUUUACUAUAAGAUAAGAUUCAAAUAUAUUUUUAAUUCUUAACAAAUUUUAAGAUUUUGUAUUUGAAUUUAAAUAUAUUUUUUAAUUUUUGUAUAGAGCUUGCUAUCUCUUUGACUCCUUCCUCAAACUUAUUCUUGUUUGUCCCCAAACAAGUUACCCAAACGCACAACCCCAACAUUAGUAAAAAAAAGUAUUUCCGUGUAUUUAAACAUGAUUAUUAAAAAAAAAUUGUUUUCAUUCAAACAACGGUGACAUUUUUAUUGAUAUUUGUAAAAAGUGCUUGGAGAUUUCUGGGGAUUGAUCUUCUUUGCAAAAAGUGCUUGGAUUUGAAAUUCUUGACGUGUCAUGUCUCAAGGUUUGUUUUGUUGCUUUGUCUCUCAUAAAAGAUUUGUAUAUCUUUGCUGAUUGCUGAUUAACUUUCUCUCUCACAAGGUUAGUGACAUCUUAGAUUCUGCACAACUGAUCUGCGAGCAGGUAAGUUUGUUGAAACUCACUGGUAUUGAAUAACUUUGAUGAUCUUUCCAGGUGAAGAUACUACUUUCAACUGACUGAUAUUCUAUACUACAAAUAUGAAUGAGCUCCUAGUCUCCUUCAGCUGCUGUAGUGCUAGACAGGCAACUGCAUUUUCAUUUACUAAUUUAUUUAUAUAUGUAUUUCAAGAUGAAAAUUAUUUUUUUUAUUGCAGAAUGAAUUGGCCUCCCGUAGAACAGAUGUAGGGAAUAUAUCUUCUUGCUUCUUGUUUCUUUAACUUAUAAUAAUUUCUAACAUCAUAAUCCAAUGAGAAAUAACAACCUUCUGAAACAGAGCUUUCCUUCAUUUUAAUUUGAUAUCAAAGAUAAAACACAAUUAAUUAAAUUGUUGUCCAACUUAAAAAAAGUUCUAUAAUAAUUCUUUUGAGACAUCAUGUUUCGAAGCUUCAAAUGAUAAACUCAAGCUUGUCGAUGCUAUUGUAAUAUAUCAUUUUCAACGAAUCAAUGUUAACAACAUACCAAACAAUUGCUCAUUCAUUCAUUUUUUUUUAAUACCUAUUAAUUUUUAAAACCCUUUUAUUCAUAAAAAUAGGGGAGCAUGUUUUCUCCUUAAAUCAAGAUGGCUAUGAAAUAUACUCAAGUUUCUGAUUCUGGAUGAAAUUAGUCAUAAUAUUGCAGUUGUACUUCUUAUAACAUGAUAAAAAUCUAUUAUAUAUGAACAUCGCGACAUAUAUCAAAUAUUAUUCACAAUAUUUGCAGUGGAAUUUAAAAAUUCUAUAAAAUUCUUUAUGAAAUUCCAUGUUUCAAAUCUUCAAGUUCAAAUGAUAAUAUAUCAUUUUUAACGAAUCAGUGUAAACAACCAAACAAUUGUGCAUGCUCGUCCAGGCAUAGUCAUUUUGGCAAUACCUAUAAACUUUUAAUACUUAUUUAUUAAUUUAAGAAAAAACCCAGGGGAGCGUUUUUUUUCUCUCCGUAAUUCAAUAUGGAUACUGUAGAAAUAGAUCGAGUCUGUUAAUUAUAUUUGCUUCUACAUGAGCAAUACUCUAAAGUUGUAGUAUUAUUGGAUAUGAAGUGUACACACAAAUUUCGAGUUAGCAUUUCAACAUGUGUAGGAGUUUCUACAUUUCCUUCGAUUGGCUUUUCUCUUGUUAAUUACUAUGUGAAUGGUUAAAUAUCCUAUUAUUGUAGGAUCAAUAUAUGUCUUCAUUUUGCUAACUAAUUAAUUAUGUUGACCAUUCUUUCAUGAUUUAUUGUUUGGACUUUGGACUAAAACCUAUACUAGCAAACUUAUUUGAAUAUGAUUUUACAAUAUCAAUGUUCCUCUCUUCUUUGCCACCUUAGCUGAAAAAUUAAAUUAUAUACUUAACGAAAAUAUGAAAGUGAAAAGAAAGACAAAUACAGGGAAUGAAUAACUUGGGAUCACUUCUUGAACAAAGGACAUUUAUUUACCAACUUUCAUCACUACCACAAGAUGAUAAACAAAGUUAGUGAGGAGGAAAGAAUCCCCCUCCACCAGCCUAAAAACAACAUUAUAUAUAUAUAUAUAUAUAUAUAUAUAUAUAUAAGGCACAAAGUUAUACUUUUCCUCAGGAUAGGUGAUGGUUCUGGGGUUUUGGUCUUGGAGGUUGGCUAAGAAAUUUAUUGUGUAUAUAUCAUCUAUCCCUACAAUUCCUCUUGACCUACUUUAUUUAUAAUAUUUGAUCUUUGUUAUUUAUUUGUUUCUCCUAUCUUUUAGGAAUUUGAGCAUGCAAAAAACCGAGGAUCCAAAAUCUAUGCAGAGGUUCGUGGCUAUGGGAUGUCAGGUAGUUUGUCUAAUUGCAGGAUAUGUAGGAUUUUCUUCUAGCCUUAGUUUUAUAUUUGGUUGACUUAUUUCAUGUGGAUUUUGACUAGGUGAUGCAUAUCAUUUAACUCAACCUCCUAGUGAGGGGAGAGGAGCCAUUUUGGCCAUGACUCGUGCUUUAAGACAGGUAUCCUUUAUCUUCUUGCAAUGAUUUGUAUUUUUCAUGCAUCAUUAGAGGUUUUCUGUUGGCUGAGCUUGCAAGCUUAAGCAUAAGCUUACUACUUCACUUUCCAAUAAAAAUUUAAGGUUAUCGUUGGUUUUAAUUUCAGUCCAUAAGGUAUAAAAUGCGGUAUAAUUAAAAGAAUAAAUGGGAGUUAAAAGGCUCAGAGGGACUAAAAAUGGGUUUUUACAAUAGUAGGCUAUAUGUUCCAAGGUAUAAAAACAAGAAAUUGCCUCUUUUAUUAGAAAACUAAAGAAUGGAGAAAAUUCAAGAGAACGACAUCAAAAUUUAAGCAAAGUAGUACCUCGUGGUUUAGCACUAAAUUUAAGAAACAAAUUUAGUUUAAGAUCGACACUCACAACUGGAUGAGGAUUCUCCAUGUGUUUAGAAAAAAAGUAACCUAUGUACAAGAUGCUUGAAAACAUAUCAAUUAAAUUAUUCAAUUUAUUUCUAUCGAUCCACAAAAGGUUCAAUGCCUCAAAAGUGUAAAUUGCAAAAAUAAAUCAAUUGAUCUCAUAUUUUUCUUUUUGGAUCAAUGGAAAAUAUUUACCUAAACAAUUUUAAAUGAAAGAUCUCAAAUUCAAUUAAUUAAGAAAUUAUUUACAACCUAAAAGACUAUUCAUAUUCAAACUUGUGUUCAAUUUCCUUCUUGUAAAAUUUUCUUGGAUAAAUAGCAAUUAGACAUCGCGAAUAAAAUUAGUUUCUAACAAAAAAAAAUACAACAAAAAUAUAAUUCUAUUACACACUUGUACAACAGAAAUAUGAUUCUAUUGCACUCGUGUUACUCUUGUAUUUUUUUUUCUCACCCCCAUUAAUUAUGGAAUGUGAAUACGUUUUUCUUGUAUUUUCAUCUAUGAAACAAUUGGCAAUACAGCUAAAAAGCACUCACAUAAAUAAUGCUAAUAGCAAAAGUGAAAGUGCCAAUAGCAACCCCUCUAGAUAACAUAUCAACAGGGGACAACUUACCUGGGCUAUCCAAUCUCAAAGACUAAAUCGAAGCUUCAUGAGAAGCACGUAAAGGCUCCAUUGGACUAGGAUGACACAAAUGUAAUCAUUGUAUCACGAAAUAAUUAGUUAAUUAUAAGAUGAUGCUCCCAUUUCGACCAUUACAGAAUCGAAGGAAUUGAAUCUUACGAAAUAAACAAACAACCUCUCCAAGUUUGGAUCCCAAUUAGUUAUAUCGAUAGUAGACACCUUUUUUCUUUUUUAAGGAAAACCUCUCCAACUUCAUUGUUUAAAUGACUUUAUUAAUAAAAGUCAUUGGUUUAAAACUCAAUCUAACACGUUUACAUUGUAGAUUGUGGCAGAUCAAAGUCUUCGUCAUAAUGCAUGCGUCUGCUUAAUGUCAACCCACUACUUAAGUUUGAUUUUUAACGUGUUAAUUCUUAAAUUAAUUAAUGAUUAUUUCAUUAAAAAAUGAGUAAACUCUAUUUUUCUCUUUUUAAUAUUCUUAUAUCAUGAUUUUUCAUACAAAAUAUGAUAUUAUUAAUAUUUGUUGCUGAAGCAAGAUAAUUGAUCUCUACCGUGAAUAUCUGGUCUUCUACAAGAAUAAGAAAGAUCUGCACGCAAAUUCAAAAAAAUGAUAUUUUAAUGUCUCUUUGGACAAAACUAGAAAAAUGAUUAAAUAAUUAUUUAUUAAAUUAUUUAUUUCCUACAUUUGCAGGAAAUGAUAGUUAAAUUAGAAUUUAAGUGUACACUCAAGUGCUGCCGCACGUGUUUCAUAUAUAUCAUUCUCCGACUUCAAAUAAAAUACAAUCAGACAUCGCGAAUAAAAUUAGUUUUUAACAGAAAAAAAUACAAUAAAAACACAAUUUUAUUACACACUUGUACAACAGAAAUAUGAUCCUAUUGCACUCGUUCCGUUGUAUUUUUUUUCUCACCCACAUUAAUUUUGGAAUGUGAAUACGUUUUUCUUGUAUUUUCAUCUAUGAAACAAUUGGCAAUACAACUAAAAAGCACUCACAUAAAUAAUGCUAAUAGCAAAAGUGGAAGUGCCAAUAGCAACCCCUCUAGAUAACAUAUCAACAAGGGACAACUUACCUGGGCUUAUCCAAUCUCAAAGACUAAAUCGAAGCUUCAUGAGAAGCACGUAAGGGCUCCAUUGGACUACGAUGACACAAAUGUAAUCAUUGUAUCACGAAAUAAUUAGUUAAUUAUAAGAGGCAAAUUUCCCCCGAAGGGGUCCUUUUACAAACAAAUUCCCAGAAUGGUGUUGUUUUGAAAGUAUUUCCGGGAUGAUGUCUUUUUUUACGUGGGAGGAAUGCAUGACGCCAUCAGGAAUGGCAAGUCCUCCACGGAUGGUCCACGUGGCAGCGGACUCGCCAGGACUAGUGGCGAUUUCAAGCCAACUGGUCUCGCCAGUCAAACUGGUGAGUUGGUCCCUGCAUGUCUCGCCAGACGCAGUGACGAUAAAGCCAUGGGGUGCGCAGGCUAGGGCCAAAACCGCCAAAAGCAUUGGUUCAGUGUAUUCUGAGUGUGUGACAUCGUUCAGCUUAAAUAGUUGGUUCUUCCUCCUAUGAUUUUUGUGUGCAUUUUAAAAGUUUUCUAAACUUCCAAAUUUGCCUUCUGCAACAGUUAUAAAUUCCUGAGCCUUCAAGCUUUCAGAGUUCAAAGUUCAAAAUCAAAAUAAGUGUGUGCCAUGAAAUUUAAAACAUGAGUUAAAAACACUUACAAGGAAGAGGAGCUACGCACGAGCAAGAAGCAACACAAGGAGGAGCAAAUCUUUUUCACUAACAGAAACCAAACACACACUCAGAAUACACACACUCACAAUCUUUUUUUGAACUGGUACGUGAAGGAGUCAAGGAGAGAUCCAUUUAUAGGAGAAAAUGAACAAUUUUUUUUCAAGCUUCUCGCCAGUCAAACUGGCGAGACCGGCAGAAGCGCUAGCCUGGAGGCAUGUCGCCACUACGUCUAGCGAGACAGGGUGCAACUCCCAGUCAAACUGGCGAGUCCAGCUAGCACGAAAUCGCCGCUGGUACUAGCGAUUUUCCCUCCAUGUGUUGCUGCAUGCUCAAAUCGUCAUUGCUGCUGGCGUUUUCUUUGAAAGUUCACAUAAAAAACAAACCCAUCCCGAAAAUUGUUUAGAAAGAGCCCCAUUUUGAGAAUUACUUUGUAAAAGGACCCCUUCGGGGGAAAUUUGCCAUUAUAAGAUGAUGCUCCCAUUUCGACCAUUACAGAAUCAAAGGAACUGAAUCUUACGAAAUAAACAAACAACCUCUUCAAGUUGGGAUCUCAAUUAGUUAUAUUGAUAGUAGACACCUUUUUUUUAAGGAAAACCUCUCCAACUUCAUUGUUUAAAUGACUUUAUUAAUAAAAGUCAUUGGUUUAAAACUCAAUCUAACACGUUUACAUUGUAGAUUGUGGUAGAUCAAAGUCUUCGUCAUGAUGCAUGCGUCUAGUUAAUGUCAACCCACUACUUAAGUUUGAUUUUUAACUUGUUAAUUCUUAAAUUAAUUAAUGAUCAUUUCAUUAAAAAAAUAUGAGUAAACUCCAUUUUUCUCUUUUUAAUAUUUUUAUAUCCUAAUUUUUCAUACAAGAUCUGAUAUUAUUAAUCCCCGUUACUCAAGCAACAUGAUUGAUCUCUACCGUGAAUAUCUGGUCUUCUACAAGAAUAAGAAAAAUCUACAGUAGAUUUAAAAAAAUGAUAUUUUAAUGUCUCUUUGGACAAAAUUAGAAAAAUGAUUAAAUAAUUAUGUAUUAAAUUAUUUAUUUCCUACAUUUGCAGUAGUUAAAUUAAAAUUUAAGUGUACACUCAAGUGCUGCCGCGCGUGUUUCGAAUAACUUGUGCGUGUAGACAUGUUACAGGGGAAUUCUUCAAAUUGAAUUGCAACCAAUUGCUAUGUUGACAAUGCAAAGUAGUAUAAGGAAAAUAUUAAAUAUACACUUAGUUUUUCUUUUAUCUCACUGUCAACCCACAUUUUUCUUUCAGUUUCUUUCUUCAUCUUCAAUCACAUUUGCAUAUCUAUCCGGUAUAAGGAAAAUAUUAAAACCCACAUUAAAUAAUUACAUAUAUCAAUUAAUCUUUAACUAAUUAAUUAUUACUAGUUUAAAUGUGCACCUGUAUUUUAAAAGUAUAAUAAAAAUAUGAUUUUAUUGUUUUCAUUCUAAUGUCCACUCUCACAUGAAUAUGAUACAGCCACUAGUUAAUUUUGCUUGGUGGUUCACGUUACACGUUAGUCUGAUUCUCAUAUAUAAAAUAAAACAAGAUGUAAUUAGAUAUAGUACGAUCCUAACUCAAGGAUUUAGGGGUACAUGCAGCAAGGCCAUAGGCCAUGUAUCUUCAGCGUGUAAGAAUAGCUUUAUAAAUAGAUAGCCAAUUCCACAUUACCUUCACACCAAAUCCAUUCAUCCAAGUUCCAAGAUGAAGAUGAUUCACUUUCUUUUCCUCUUUGCUCUUGUCUCGUUCACUUCCCAUGCUUCUGUCAAUGAUUUCUGUGUAGCAGACCUAAAAGGUCCAGAUAGCCCUUCAGGCUAUCAGUGCAAGCCACCUAACACAGUCACAGUGGAUGACUUUGUGUUCUCUGGCUUUGUAGCUGGAAACACCACAAACACUUUCAAUGCUGCAUUAACCUCCGCAUUUGUUACUGAUUUUCCAGGUGUGAAUGGUCUUGGUGUAUCUGCGGCACGGUUAGACAUAGCCAAAGGUGGAUCAAUCCCAAUGCACACACACCCUGCUGCCACUGAACUUCUAAUAAUGGUGGAAGGUCAAAUCACUGCUGGUUUUAUGACCCCAACUGCACUUUAUACCAAGACACUGAAACCUGGAGAUAUUAUGGUUUUUCCACAAGGACAGUUGCAUUUUCAGGUUAAUUCUGGAAACGGAAAAGCCACUGCUUUUCUGGCAUUCAGUAGUGCAAACCCUGGAGCACAACUACUUGACCUUCUGUUAUUUGGCAACACCUUGCCUUCUGACUUGGUUGCACAAACUACCUUCCUUGAUGUUGCACAAGUCAAGAAACUUAAGGCUCGUUUCGGUGGCAGAGGCUAGGAAUAUUAUUGCUCAUGAAUUUAUUCCUAUCUAAUGUUUGUUGCUAUUUAUAGUCCAUAAUAAUGCCUGUGUAUGCCCUUGCCUUUUCCAUU